GGGUUGUGAGGUUAAGCGACUAAGCGUACACGGUGGAUGCCCUGGCAGUCAGAGGCGAUGAAGGACGUGCUAAUCUGCGAAAAGCGUCGGUAAGGUGAUAUGAACCGUUACAGCCGGCGAUGUCCGAAUGGGGAAACCCAGUGCAAUUCGUUGCACUAUCGUUAACUGAAUACAUAGGUUAACGAGGCGAACCGGGGGAACUGAAACAUCUAAGUACCCCGAGGAAAAGAAAUCAACCGAGAUUCCCCCAGUAGCGGCGAGCGAACGGGGAGCAGCCCAGAGUCUGAAUCAGCUUGUGUGUUAGUGGAACGGUCUGGAAAGUCCGACGGUACAGGGUGAUAGUCCCGUACACCAAAAUGCACAGGCUGUGAACUCGAAGAGUAGGGCGGGACACGUGGUAUCCUGUCUGAAUAUGGGGGGACCAUCCUCCAAGGCUAAAUACUCCUGACUGACCGAUAGUGAACCAGUACCGUGAGGGAAAGGCGAAAAGAACCCCGGCGAGGGGAGUGAAAAAGAACCUGAAACCGUGUACGUACAAGCAGUGGGAGCACCUUCGGGUGUGACUGCGUACCUUUUGUAUAAUGGGUCAGCGACUUAUAUUCUGUAGCAAGGUUAACCGUAUAGGGGAGCCGCAGGGAAACCGAGUCUUAACUGGGCGUUAAGUUGCAGGGUAUAGACCCGAAACCCGGUGAUCUAGCCAUGGGCAGGUUGAAGGUUGGGUAACACUAACUGGAGGACCGAACCGACUAAUGUUGAAAAAUUAGCGGAUGACUUGUGGCUGGGGGUGAAAGGCCAAUCAAACCGGGAGAUAGCUGGUUCUCCCCGAAAGCUAUUUAGGUAGCGCCUCGUGAAUUCAUCUUCGGGGGUAGAGCACUGUUUCGGCUAGGGGGUCAUCCCGACUUACCAACCCGAUGCAAACUACGAAUACCGAAGAAUGUUAUCACGGGAGACACACGGCGGGUGCUAACGUCCGUCGUGAAGAGGGAAACAACCCAGACCGCCAGCUAAGGUCCCAAAGUCACAGUUAAGUGGGAAACGAUGUGGGAAGGCACAGACAGCCAGGAUGUUGGCUUAGAAGCAGCCAUCAUUUAAAGAAAGCGUAAUAGCUCACUGGUCGAGUCGGCCUGCGCGGAAGAUGUAACGGGGCUAAACUGUGCACCGAAGCUGCGGCAGCGACACUAUGUGUUGUUGGGUAGGGGAGCGUUCUGUAAGCCUGCGAAGGUGGCCUGUGAGGGUUGCUGGAGGUAUCAGAAGUGCGAAUGCUGACAUAAGUAACGAUAAUGCGGGUGAAAAGCCCGCACGCCGGAAGACCAAGGGUUCCUGUCCAACGUUAAUCGGGGCAGGGUGAGUCGACCCCUAAGGCGAGGCCGAAAGGCGUAGUCGAUGGGAAACAGGUUAAUAUUCCUGUACUUGGUGUUACUGCGAAGGGGGGACGGAGAAGGCUAUGUUAGCCGGGCGACGGUUGUCCCGGUUUAAGCAUGUAGGCGGAGGUUCCAGGUAAAUCCGGUACCUUUUUAACGCUGAGGUGUGAUGACGAGGCACUACGGUGCUGAAGUAACAAAUGCCCUGCUUCCAGGAAAAGCCUCUAAGCAUCAGGUAACAUUGAAUCGUACCCCAAACCGACACAGGUGGUCAGGUAGAGAAUACCAAGGCGCUUGAGAGAACUCGGGUGAAGGAACUAGGCAAAAUGGUGCCGUAACUUCGGGAGAAGGCACGCUGAUAUGUAGGUGAAGCCCCUGCGGGUGGAGCUGAAAUCAGUCGAAGAUACCAGCUGGCUGCAACUGUUUAUUAAAAACACAGCACUGUGCAAACACGAAAGUGGACGUAUACGGUGUGACGCCUGCCCGGUGCCGGAAGGUUAAUUGAUGGGGUUAUCCGUAAGGAGAAGCUCUUGAUCGAAGCCCCGGUAAACGGCGGCCGUAACUAUAACGGUCCUAAGGUAGCGAAAUUCCUUGUCGGGUAAGUUCCGACCUGCACGAAUGGCGUAAUGAUGGCCAGGCUGUCUCCACCCGAGACUCAGUGAAAUUGAACUCGCUGUGAAGAUGCAGUGUACCCGCGGCAAGACGGAAAGACCCCGUGAACCUUUACUAUAGCUUGACACUGAACAUUGAGCCUUGAUGUGUAGGAUAGGUGGGAGGCUUUGAAGCGUGGACGCCAGUCUGCGUGGAGCCAACCUUGAAAUACCACCCUUUAAUGUUUGAUGUUCUAACGUUGGCCCCUGACCGGGGUUGCGGACAGUGUCUGGUGGGUAGUUUGACUGGGGCGGUCUCCUCCCAAAGAGUAACGGAGGAGCACGAAGGUUAGCUAAUCCUGGUCGGACAUCAGGAGGUUAGUGCAAUGGCAUAAGCUAGCUUGACUGCGAGCGUGACGGCGCGAGCAGGUGCGAAAGCAGGUCAUAGUGAUCCGGUGGUUCUGAAUGGAAGGGCCAUCGCUCAACGGAUAAAAGGUACUCCGGGGAUAACAGGCUGAUACCGCCCAAGAGUUCAUAUCGACGGCGGUGUUUGGCACCUCGAUGUCGGCUCAUCACAUCCUGGGGCUGAAGUAGGUCCCAAGGGUAUGGCUGUUCGCCAUUUAAAGUGGUACGCGAGCUGGGUUUAGAACGUCGUGAGACAGUUCGGUCCCUAUCUGCCGUGGGCGCUGGAGAAUUGAGGGGGGCUGCUCCUAGUACGAGAGGACCGGAGUGGACGCAUCACUGGUGUUCGGGUUGUCAUGCCAAUGGCAUUGCCCGGUAGCUAAAUGCGGAAGAGAUAAGUGCUGAAAGCAUCUAAGCACGAAACUUGCCCCGAGAUGAGUUCUCCCUGAGACUUUAAGUCUCCUGAAGGAACGUUAAAGACGAUGACGUUGAUAGGUCGGGUGUGUAAGCGUAGCGAUACGUUGAGCUAACCGAUACUAAUGAACCGUGAGGCUUAACCUUACAACGCCGAAGCUGUU
rnacentral:rRNA from 1 species